AUGGGUGCCCAGCUCCUGGGCCAUGUGAUGUUUUUCCUCCUGGGAGCAGGCCACGGAGCAGCAGGAGUGACCGAGUCCCCCAGACACCGCAUCAUGUUGCCUGGGAGGGAGCUAGAGCUAGAGUUGGAGUGUUUUCAGAGCACAAGCCACGACGCCAUGUACUGGUAUCGGCAAGACCCGGGCCUGGGCCUGAAGCUGAUCUACUACUCCAUUAAUGUUGGCUUAACUGAGAAGGGAGAUGGUUCUGAGGGAUACGAGGUCUCCCGAAAAUACAAGAAGCGUUUCCCCCGACCCUGA